ensembl:lncRNA
GGGCGCCAUCAACUCAAAUCAGAUAUUCUCAGAGUAUUUCCCUGAUUGAUGCCUAAGCUCCGCGAUGCGCAGGCUGAGGUCCUCCCAGUGCAUGAUGGGAAGGUGCUGUUCGCCCAGGGAAGUCAGAUAAAGAUCUCCCGAUCCCUCUUCCUGGUCUUCUUUGGGGAGAUGUCGCCCGUCGCCGUCCUUCUCCUCCGUUGUCUCUUCCUCUGUGGACCCUACCUCCAUCUCUUAGAGAGGCACAUGAGUUACACACCAAAUUAGCCAUGCAAAGUGUUUGUAUGUAUGUUUCACAUGUGUGUAUGUGUGUCCACUUGUGUUUGGGUACGAAUUUGUGUGUGUAUGUUUGUUUGUGUGUGUCUGUCCGCUUGUGUGUGUGUGUUCGUGUGGUGUGUCCGCUUGUGUGUUUGCGUGUGUCCCUGUUUGUGUGUUUGUCCGCGUGUGUGUCCCUGUUUGUGUGUUUGUCCGCGUGUGUGUGUGUGUGUGUGUGUGUGUGUGUGUACUUAAGUAUGUGACUACAAAUGCAUGCCUGGCGUAUCGAUCUGUCUGGCGGACUACACGAAAAAUCCAUUCUGUCGCAGUAAUUCAAACUCAAGAAAAUCGAUCGACUCUGUCCUGCACUGCAGUUACCGUGAUGGUAACUUAACUCCGUUGACGGCGGUAACUUUUUACAACUGUCAAUUUAUUAACGAAAUUUAAAAGAUUAUUAAUAUCACUUAUUAUAGAAGUCAGAACACGUGUGUUAAUAUAAAUAACAUGCGAUCCAUAUCGUUAUAAAUCCGUCAAGAGGAUAAAACAGGAACGACUAUUUAGUAUACAAUGUGAGUGUUGGGAAGGUCGGUUCUUACUCAAUCGUAUCCAUGUAGGCCUAUA